GGUGGGGAUGACGUCAAGUCCUCAUGGCCCUUACGGGCUGGGCUACACACGUGCUACAAUGGUGGUGACAGUGGGCAGCGAGCACGCGAGUGUGAGCUAAUCUCCAAAAGCCAUCUCAGUUCGGAUUGCACUCUGCAACUCGAGUGCAUGAAGUUGGAAUCGCUAGUAAUCGCGGAUCAGCAUGCCGCGGUGAAUACGUUCCCGGGCCUUGUACACACCGCCCGUCACACCAUGGGAGUUGGUUUUACCCGAAGGCGCUGUGCUAACCGCAAGGAGGCAGGCGACCACGGUAGGGUCAGCGACUGGGGUGAAGUCGUAACAAGGUAGCCGUAGGGGAACCUGCGGCUGGAUCACCUCCUUUCUAAG
rnacentral:rRNA from 1 species